CCGACAAAAACGCAGGGGGCACCCGACAAGCAACCACUCUAUACAAGAAGGGCCGGCUGCAGUUUCGUAUGCAACACGGUUUGAGAUACAGAGUCCCGCGGAUCAACGCCACACUGACUCCCACCUGGCCAACCACACGUUUGGCCGAAAUGCCAUCAUCGGAAAGUCCCUCUGGCUUCUUCGAUAGUUGUUUCCGGAAUCGACGUGUCAGGGCUUCGCAAUCUUGCUCCUCAGCCUGCUGACAAACCGCAACGUCCUCGUACUGCUGGAAAAGCUGGCGACGAGCAUGUGUCCCUCAUUCGGAGGGUUCCUGUUUCCGUUUCGACAUCUACUAUGCCCACGUACCUGAGGACUGAAGCGCGUGAUUUGCCUGUCCAUGCCUGCCGUCUCUUCCCCGUGUACUCCUCCAGUAUGUGGUCCUCUAUUGCCGAACGGUGUCCCAGAUCCUGCAGGCGGUGAAGCGCUCAUCAGUGGAGUUCGAUGCAGAGGGUGACCCCAGCGUUGUUCUGCCGAGUCAGUGGGCUGUCGAGAUUCUGUAAUCCGACGAGGUCGACACGCGUCUGACGGCAUCCUCACGGUCGCGUACGUUUGCCGUUCUUCUGGGGGCAUACCAGCACCUAGUGAUGCAUUGUCCCGAAAAUCGGGAGAGUUGAUAAAAAGCGACAUUUCGCUAGUGCCAGUCUCAAACCUUGCAUGAGUGGUCUGCGGUCCCCCACGGCCACCCCCCACACGGAGACGUUGCUGGAAGUCUCCCUCCGUUGUCACGUCGGCUAGCCGAUGAAAGCCCAGCCGCCUCUGGCUGUCCCUAUUCAACAUUGGUCCUGUCACUUGAGAUGAUCAGGACCGAAAGAGAUUCUCCCAUCCCUCGUCUGUUGGUCGUGCAGAGCUGUGGUAUGCUCAGCUCCCACCAAGAGGAACGCCGACAGCAACGUGUGACGUCUUUACAAAUGUCUCGUUCUGAGAACUAGAGGGCUCGAGACGUUGUACGCGCACUUCAAGAAAUGAAAGCCCUCUCUGUAUCCACAGGUCUCUCGAAAGUUCUGGCGUCUGGUGUAUGUCAAACAAGUCCAGAGUACCCUCUUGUUGCAUGUAAUACGAAAACGCUGAACAGGCAGGCUCUCGAACCACGAAGAAGCCUACCAGUUAUUUUUGUUACAAC
rnacentral:lncRNA from 1 species